rnacentral:rRNA from 1 species
AGAGUUUGAUCAUGGCUCAGAACGAACGCUGGCGGCAGGCCUAACACAUGCAAGUCGAGCGCCGGCAAGGGAGCGGCAGACGGGUGAGUAACGCGUGGGAACGUGCCCUUUGGUUCGGAAUAUUCCCGGGAAACUGGGAGCAAAACCGGAUAAGCCCUUCGGGGGAAAGUUUACGCCAAAGGAUCGGCCCGCGUUAGAUUAGGUAGUUGGUGGGGUAACGGCCUACCAAGCCUACGAUCUAUAGCUGAUCUGAGAGGAUGAUCAGCCACACUGGGACUGAGACACGGCCCAGACUCCUACGGGAGGCAGCAGUGGGGAAUCUUGGACAAUGGGCGCAAGCCUGAUCCAGCCAUGCCGCGUGGAUGACUGAAGGCCCUAGGGUUGUAAAGUCCUUUCGACGGGGACGAUAAUGACGGUACCCGUAGAAGAAGCCCCGGCUAACUUCGUGCCAGCAGCCGCGGUAAUACGAAGGGGGCUAGCGUUGUUCGGAUUUACUGGGCGUAAAGGGCGCGUAGGCGGAUUUUUAAGUCGGGGGUGAAAUCCCGGAGCUCAACUCCGGAACUGCCUUCGAUACUGGAAGUCUGGAGCACGGUAGAGGUGAGUGGAAUUCCGAGUGUAGAGGUGAAAUUCGUAGAUAUUCGGAGGAACACCAGUGGCGAAGGCGGCUCACUGGACCGUUGCUGACGCUGAGGCGCGAAAGCGUGGGGAGCAAACAGGAUUAGAUACCCCGGUAGU